rnacentral:rRNA from 1 species
AUUGAACGCUGGCGGAAUGCUUUACACAUGCAAGUCGAACGGCAGCACGGGGCAACCUGGUGGCGAGUGGCGAACGGGUGAGUAAUACAUCGGAACGUGCCCAAUCGUGGGGAUAACGUAGCGAAAGUUACGCUAAUACCGCAUACGAUCUACGGAUGAAAGCGGGGGAUCGCAAGACCUCGCGCGAAUGGAGCGCCGAUGUCAGAUUAGGUAUUGGUGGGGUAAAGGCUCACCAAGCCGACGAUCUGUAGCUGGUCUGAGAGGACGACCAGCCACACUGGGACUGAGACACGGCCCAGACUCCUACGGAGGCAGCA